GCCGCGUUGGCCUAAUGGUAAGGCGUCUCUUUGCGCAGGAGAAGAUUGUAGGUUCAAUCCCCAUACGCGGUA
rnacentral:tRNA from 1 species